AUACAACGUCAAGUCUAGUUGGGUAACUAAAUCAAAUAUUUUAGCAGCUAGAACUUUAACUAAAUUGGCUUCAGCAUCCAAAUGAAUUUUCUAAUGUGAGAAUACUUAGACAAGAACGAGAACCUUGUCAAUUUUCCAGAUGCAAUAUUGCUACUACUAAAAUUGAUCUAUCUUUAUGUGCUAAUGGAUCCUACGAACCUCAGCAAACUUGAAACCCACUUUUAACGGAAGGAGAUACAUGAACUAAGGAUGAACUAAUCAAACAGAGGAAAUUUCAAUCUAGAACAAAAAUUAAGGAACAAACAAACCAAGAGUCCAUUCAUAAUAUCUAGAGGAACGGGUCUGGAAAUCAAAGAGAAAAUAAAGUUUUAGAAUUGAACCUUUAGAGCUGCAUUGUGUUCUUGGAACAAUGAAUAGAAAAAAAAACUCCAGGCCAAAUCUACCAUUGACGAACUCGACGGAUCGGACACCUACGACCUCGACGGACCGGACACCGACGACCUCGAGCACAGAACUUCAACGGAAUUAAUGGAGGAUUCUGGGAGGUUGUAAUGGCAGCGAUUCGAUCUAUUGUUCUCACGUUUUGGAGCUGGUUUUACAGCUUCAUGGUGGUUUUAAUGGAGGUUUUAAGCUACUUGUUUCUAUGGCCAGAACAGAGAAUUUAACGUAACGAAAAUAGAGUUUUGUGGGGAUGGAUCUGCUGAAGGUGAAGGAGAUGGCUACGAUUCUUCACUUUAUCUGUGUGCCUGAACAUUUUACUCUCUUUGUUAUUUGUAUCUAUAGCUCUUUUAGGUCUCCAGGUUUUUUGUUUUUUGAAGAAGAUAGAUCUGAUGGGAGGGGUCGUGAUUUUUGUUGAAGAAGGCAGAACGGUAGGGUGAAGGAGACGACGUUGAACAUCGCUGCGUAGGGGUCUCCUUAGGUCCGAUUCUUUGAGUUUUUCGGCUGAUCUCCUAGAGUGUAAGGAUGUCGGUCUAUUUUAGAUGUUAGAUACUAUAUAUAGGGGUAGAGAUUAAGUUAGGGGUAUGGGCCUAGGAAUUAUGGGCUAGGAAAUUGGGCCAAAGACUAAAAAAAUGGACUAUAAGAUUUAUAAAGACGAGAUAAACUAACCUAAAACUAAUUCAUCCUUCUAAAAUUAUGUACAAUUAUAAUAUAAAAAUAUAAAACUAAUUUUAAUUAAUUGAACUAAACUAUAAAACAUAAAACUAUUUUUGUGUUUUCAAGAUUAUAUAAAAAUAAAGAUAAGGUACUAUUUUUUAUAUAUUUUUUAUUUAAAUUUAUGAAAGAUACGUAAAGUAAAAUAUUUUUUUGUAAUUUUUAUUUUUAUGACGAAAAUAAAGUAAAGAAGUCAAAAAUAGUUGAAAUAGCUAUAUUAUGCCUAAAUUAAAUAUUUACGUACUAAGAUAUGGAAAAUCUUGGGGAGGGUCAAAAAUCACAUGUCUACAACUGCCCCUCUUUGACUGGAAAGACGAGGUAUUUUCAGACAAAGAAUGACUAGAUAGGUUUUUUGAUCCAACCCUUAUUUGGAGAGACUAAAACUAAUAAAGAGGGGAAUGUGACCGAGCUCUGGUAUCUGAGCUACUACAUAUCCUUGGCUAUAAAGGAAUCAGGCCAUGUGUAGUUCUGAAGUGAGUGAGAUGAUGGAGUAUGCCGAGGUGGAGAGCCGGUCGAGGUGCCGUUCCACCGAGGUUCCGGUCCGCGGUCCCGUUAUUACAUCAAAACCAAAAAUGAAAAAGACUAACUAAGCCUAUCAGCUACGAGUUACAAGAUUCCUAUCUAUGAGUCUUCUGAAGCUUGAUCUUGAGUCUUGGUUAGUUCUUCAUGCGGACCCUGAUCUGAAUCUUGAUGCUUGUUAGCCGCAGGUGUUGGUUCAAUCUUCUACGGCUUUUCAAACCAAGACGGGACAUGUAGAGCUCGUGAACUCAGCCCUGUCUUGAGUAGCUUACAUCUUUCAUUAACUUAUGCAUUUGGAUUCACUUCUUGUCUUUCUUUUUGUUGUUUUUUUUAUAUUUUUAUUCUGGAUUGUGACAAACUUCUGUUGAUCAUCUCGGACUGCUGACUCGCAUUCUUGACGCGAGCUUCUUUUGUUGCUGACCUGAAUUGCAUUCUGAAUUGAAUUCUCUUAUUUUCCAGACGGACGCCUGAUUGCUGAACUUGAACCGUCUUCUCUUGUUACUUGACACUGUUUUCCCUUGCACCUUGAACCAUUUUCCCUUGAAACUUGAAUUGUCUUCCUUCUAAACUGCUUUCCCUUGAAACUCGAGUUGUCUUCCUUCAAAACUGCUUUCCCUUGAAACUUGAGUUGUCUUCCUUCGAAAAUGCUUUCCCUUGAAACUUGAGGUGUCUUCCCUUGUUCUCCAGGUGGGCGCCUGAUUCUACAACAAAAUAGACAAAAUGAAAGAAAUUUUUUUUGCCCCAGUUUGCACUAGGAAGAUUUGUGAGUUGUUAGCAAAACUAUAAAUCACUCAUACUAUUGAUGCAAUGAUGAGAGUAAACUAAAGACUACACUAGGAUGUGCGUCUCCUAAAAGUGAUUGAGCUUGCGGAAAACUGUAAACUAAGCUUGACUAAAGUAAAGACUGACCUUAUUCUUCAGGCGGAGCCUCCUGAUUUCGGAAAAAAUAAACACUAAUUACUUAAGAAAACUAAAAAUUGACCCUUUUUUUUUUCAAAUCCAGACUUUCUUUUUUUCAAAUUAUCCAAGGAGAAAAUUCGUCAGACUAGAUUUUCUAUCUUAGGAGAAAGAUUCAUCAGACUAAGAUUUUGAUCCUAGGAGAAAAUUCAUUAAACUGAGUCCUUUUUUUCUCUCUUUUUUUUCUUUUGGUAUCGGUAUCUUAGGAGAAAGAUUCAUCUGACUAAGACGUUUAUCCUAGGAGAAAGUUCAUCAUACUAGGUCUUCUAUCUUAGGAGAAAAAUUCAUCAGACUAAGGUUUUGAUCCUAGGAGAAAAUUCGUCAGACUAGAUCUUUUUUUUUGUAUCUUAGGAGAAAGAUUCAUCAGACUAAGAUUUCUAUCCUAGGAGAAAAUUCAUCAGACUAGGUUUUCUAUCUUAGGAGAAAAAUUCAUCAGACUAAGACAUCUAUCCCAGGAGAAAGUUCAUCAGACUAGGUCUUUUUUUGUAUCUUAGGAGAAAGAUUCAUCAGACUAAGAUUUCUAUCAUAGGAGANNNNCAAUCAGCUUGAGUCGGCCUCAAAAGACUUUUGUUCUGCACCAACUCUGAUUGUUUCACAUUAGUACCAUUUGUAUUUGCAGCUAAAACAACAUAAUCCCAACUGAAGAUCUUUUCUUAGAUGACCUUUUCUGAUAUCUUGAAUGACUUCCUGCUUUGAGCAAUUUGUCUGUCAGAGAGAAUCACAAGUUAUCUUUAUUUGCGCCAAGCAUGCUGACAAGAGUCUUUUGGGGGAGCCUUUGUAUGAAUCCUCAAGGCAUGUUGACAUUAACAACUGAGUUUGCUAGCCAAAUUUACUUUGUACAAUUGAAAAGCUGGUAGCAGAUUUUGAAAUCUUUUCUUGCUUGUUUUGACAAGGACCGACUCAGAGUGAAGGAUAAAAUGAUGCAAAGAAACAAUUAUUAGCAAAAAAUGCCCCUGUCGGAAGGACAGAAGGAAGAGUUUUUCUUUUUUCUUUCUUUUUUUUUUCAUUUUUUUUCCUUUUUCACUAACUAGCCUUAAUGGUCAUGACAUGCAUUUUGGACUUAGUGGCCGAUCUAUCAAACUAAUUCCCUCCUCCCUUUUCUAUUCUUAGGACCUUUGAAGUCGAGCUUGUUUAUGCCAAUUCUUCACACCAGCUUUAUGACUCACUUUCGACUAGUGGUGCCCCGAGGAGUUUUCACCAACAAGUCUCUCUCAUUUAUUCAUCUCAGCUUACCGUCGCCUUAUAGUGCCUGUGAGGGUUUUCACCAGUAAGACUCUAUCAUUUCUUCUCUAUUUUUCUUUUUCUUUUGCUUUCUUGUGCGAGCAUUCUGACAGUGUUCUAUGUCGCGUGACCACCGUUGCUCAUUACAUGCUUCUCUUGGCAUUCUUGAAAGCAUAUCGGGAGGUCUUUGUUUGGAAGGUUUUUGGAUAGGGUUGGACAAAAAGGUCGGCAUGAAGGCUCAAAAUAAACUCAGAAUUAGGGGUUGUAGACUUACAACUCUAGGAAUCAAUUCUUUCAAAACAAUCUCUGCCCCAGUUUCAGAUGCUGGGGAUUUUUGGAUUUUUCUAUUUUUUUUUGCUGGACCGAACCGUGAGGCUGCCUACGUAUCCUUAUUUUCAAAGAAUCAGGUCUAACGUAGUUCAAACAUCUGACCUAAACUAUUAUUCAUCUUUCUUUCUGUUUCUUUUUUUUUCUUUUUAUUUUCAAAACAAGUUGCCCCGGCUUCUAUUUUUGAGGCAUGGACCUUCGACAGUUCUUUUUUUUUUCUUCUUUUUUUCACUUGAACUUUCAAAGAGCUUCCCCAGUUUGUACUCUUGGGGCAUGGACUUUUUUUUCUUUUUUUUCUCUUUUUUUUUGACUCUAAACUUGAUUUCAAAAGAGGGUAGUCAAAGAAAAUAACACAGGCUCAAAAGGGGUGACAAAGGGUAUAAAGUGUUUGGGUAGCAGAAAAAGGGCCUCCCAGCCUGAGAACGCUAAACAUAGUAUCCUUUCGCAAUCACGACAUUGAUGAACAUGUCUGUCUUCUUGGUGUGCCGUGGUCAUAAGACAUUUCUUCAUACCUUAGUGACAAACUUUCCAACAAACUUCAAUUGAUUAAACAUCCUCAAGAUCGAUCUUCACAAUAAUUUGAAGGUGAAUUUUACUCGACCUUAGUUCCAAAGUAUUCCAACUCUUUAUUCAUCCUCAAAAGUAUUUUUUUUAGUUAUCAAAUUCCAGAUUAAAUCAGUUCCUAAGAUCUGGCCAAAAUUUCCGCAUGCAUGUCAUGUCAUUAAGACUAGCAGGAAAAGAACUAAGCAUGAAAUGACACAAAAGGACAAACUGUAUUUCAUUGAGUAACAACAAGACAAACAACCUAAAUCCAAGUUACAACCCUAUGUAACCCGGCUAAUGAAAAUAGCAAUAGAACAGAAAGACAAGACUCACACAAACAGAAUAGAGGGAUAGAAGGGUUUGACUCAAUAAAACAAAUAAAUCUGGAUCACAACCCUGAAAUAACCCAGAUAAUAGAAAAAACAUCAAAACAAACUACCAAGAUUCCUUCCUAGUGAGGAGGGAAUGACUUUUCAAUUGCUAAGCUUGACAUUUAGCCACAAAUUUGCUCAUCAGGAUCAGCAGAGCCUUCUCCAAUUUCAAAAUCAUUAACUUCAGUUAGCAAAUUCCCGAGAGGAUUCUCAUACUCCCCAUCACCACGCAUCAUCCCCACAAAGUGUGCAUCAUCAUGUGCAGGUAAAGGAUUCUGCACGAUAUUCUGGGUGCCAUUGUCUUGGAUCACGAUUAGUUUUUCCUGGAUCAUCCUUUCUAUUUCUCUUUUCAAAUCUCGACAACUUUAAACAUUGUGCCCUAGGCAUUGGAAUGGUAUUCACACCUUUUAGAAGGGUCAAAACUUCUUGCACGUGGGUCCACAUGAUUUGGAGGAAUAGGUGCAAUCAUGUCAUAAUGCUUUAAUUUCUUCAACAAGCUUGCAUAAGACUCUCCUAUUGGUGUAAAAUUAUCUUUCAACUUUUGUUCCCCUCUAUACCUCUGGCCUGGAUGUGGGUUAUAGGGUACCUGGAAAUUUUGUGGAGGCUGGUAGUGAUUUUGUGAUGCUCGUGCUCACCUUUUGGGGUGUUUUGGUGGCUGGUCAACAUACUGAGGUGGAACAACAGAGUUUUGUGGGUUUUGAGGGGGAUAGUAAUGCUCAGGGGAGUUAUUGGAAAACAGACGAGGUUGGUCAUACCUUCGAGACACUCUCCUAGGACCUCUUCUCGACCCUGAUGUCAUCAUGAUUUCUUUAACCUUCUCAUUCGUGUCACUAAAAUUAUCAGAUUUGAUCUGGACAGCCUGAAUUGCGGUUUUGAGAACUGCUUGACUUAUAAUUUUUCCUGUCUUAAAACCAUUCUCAACCAUUUCCCCCAUUUUGAUUGCUUCCGAGAAAGAUUUACCCACUACGAACAUCAUAUUUUGAAAAUAAUCUGGCUCUUGAGCUUGAAGAAAGACAGUGAUUAGCUCGUGGUCGUCCAUGAGUGGCUUAACUCUGGCUUCUUGUUCUCUCCAUUUGGUGGCAUAUUCCCUGAAACUUUUAGUUGGUUUCUUCUUGAGAUUUGAAAGGGAAAUGCGGUUUGGGGCGAUGUCGAUGUUGUAUUGGAACUGAUUAACAAAGGCCUGUGCCAUGUCAUUCCAGACGUACCAGCGAGAUGUGUCUUGAUCCAAAAACCAUUCGGAUGCUACUCCCGUAAGGCUUUCCCCAAAAUAGGCCAUCAGCAAUUUUUCGUUUCUUCCUGCACCUCUCAGUUGAUUGCAAUAACUUUUCAGGUGGGCUAUGUGGUCUCCAUGUCCAUCAUACUUUUCAAAUUUGGGAGUCUUGAAACCAGGCGGCAAGUGGACAUCGGAGAACAUACAUAGAUCUUUGAAGGCAACACUCUUUUGACCUGCCAACCCUUGCAUGUUUUUCAACCGUUGUUCUAAGCUUUUCACUCUUUGGGCCACUUCUUCCUGUACCAUCUUUCGGGCAGGCAUCUCAACGUUUGCAGGAAGAUCAAACGAGUACGAGUGGUACUCAGGAGAGUGGUACUGCUCUUGUUGUGUAGCAAAUUGUGACUCAUGACGAGGUUGUCCUUGACCACUGGCCCAUGCUUGACACAUUUCGGUUAUUUGCUGUUUCAGCAUUCUAUUUUUCUCAAACACAGUAGACUCUUGUUGAACCCUCUGACCCUGAGUCUCUUGAGCACUUGUUCAGCUUCGAUGUCAGUUAUCUUACCACAAACCGACCACCUCAACUUUCUUCACAAUUCAAAACAAAACAUGUUAGAAUGGACUCAGUCGGUCCUUAUUAUUAUCAAUAUUUUUUCAUUUUUGUUUUCAUUUUUUUCUUUUUUUUUCAUUUUUCUUUCAAUGGUUGAUCGAACCUGAUGUGGGUUGCCUACGUAUCAUGUGGGAAUAUGAAUCAGAUCUUGUGUAGUUCGGGAAGAUCAUGAAUAAAGUAAAUAAACUAACUCUUUUUUUCGAAUUUUUAUUUUAUUUUUUCGAAAGAAAAACUUAUAAAGAAGAAAGGGAAUAUUUUUGGAUUUUAAUUUUUUGCAAAGAAAGACUUCUAAAGAAGAAAGAUUUUUUUUUUGAAUUUUUUAUUCCGGAAUUUCGAAAGAAAAACUUCUAAAGAAGAAAGAAAAUAUUUUUGGAAUUUUAUUUUGAAUUUAUGAAAGAAAUGCUUCUAAAAAAAGAAAAUAUUUUUAAAUUUUGAAUUUCUUUUCAAUUUAUUUGUAUAUUUGUUUUUUUAAAAAAUAAUUAGAGUCUAAAAGAAAGGCUUUCUAAAGAAGCAAGUAAUGGAAAUAUUUUUGCAAAUUGGGGUCCAAAAAAAAGACUUUUCUAGAGAGGAAGUAAGGGAAAAUAUUUUUGGAUUUUUUGAAAAUUAUGGGCCGGAACCGAUGAGGUUUUCCUACGUAUCUCACAUCCGGUGAGAAUCAGACCCGCGUAGUUCGCCCAUUUUGACGCAACAAGAAAAUAUGACUUAUUUUGAAAUGACCUUUCUUUUUUUCAAAAUUUCGGCAGAGUUUCAGGAUAUUUCAAAUACCUACCUCUCACUCUCUUUUCUUUUUUCUUCUUUCUCCUUUUUUUUGAUUUUAUUUUUUCUCUUUUUUUUCAUUUUCUUUCCCUAUUCUAGAAGCCAGUAAACAUGCAAGCCGAAACAGAUAGAUUCACAAGUAGCACGUAAGAUGCAUCAUGAUGGUCUUUUAAUUUGGGUACACCUGUCCUAGACGGACCCAACCCCUGUGUUGAGUCCCCAAAGUCAAAUGCACAUGAUAAAAACAAACGUUCCUACUAGGAAUCAGGCAUGAGGCUGAGUUAUUCUAAGAUACAAACCUGGGUAUAUUGUUCUAGACUUGUGUACCCGAGCGGACAACUCGAGCCAAGGAGGGGCUACGUACCGGGAACCAAAAGGCCAUCCGGCUUAGUAACUUGUCCGAGCCUCUUUCUUAUUUCAAGGUAUGACACAAACAGAAUAGGGAGUCUCGACCAACGAGCACAUCCCCAAAGAUGAGAAGAGAAGGGUUUCGUAGCAGUUUAUAUACAGUUCAGAUAAUAUCAAAGCGGUAAAAACCUCAUUUAAUACAUUAGGCCCAAGCAUGUAAUAAAAUUAGAUAACAGAUAAAGCAAAAUUCAAUAAUUCAUCUAAGCUCGAAUUCUGAACCCUGAACCAAAGAUUCUGGGUUCUUAUCCCAAGCAGCGUCGCCAGAGCUGUCACACCUCCUUUUUCACACUACACCCCAGGGGGUAUAAGGGAGUUUUUUCCAAUUUAAGUGACAAUCGAAACGGGAUUAUUUUAUUAAAGAUUCAGAGUCGCCACUUGGGAUAAUUUAUGGUGUCCCAAGUCACCGGUUUUAAAUCCUGAGUUGAGGAAAAGAUUGACUCUGUUCAACAGUCCGCGAACCAGAAAUCCUGAGUAAAGAAUUUUGUUAACCCGGGAGAAGGUGUUAGGCAUUCCCGAGUUCCGUGGUUCUAGCACGGUCGCUCAACUGUUAUAUUCAGCUUAAUUAUCUGAUUUUAAUACAUGUUUUAGCCUAUGGUUCAAUUUUAACUUCACCGCUUUUAUUCAUUUUUAAAGAAAAUUGCAACGUUAUUAGAACACGUCUUGAACUACGUCACAUAAAUGCACCCGUGAUUUUGACAUAUUUUAACAUCGUUGAGAUUUGGAUUUGGGUCACAUAAAUGCGCACCCGAAUUUAAUAAUGUAAUAUUAUUAAACUAACACGCCUAAGCUAUUACGAAUAUUCAUUGAGAAACCAUAAUUGUGUCACGCGAACGUGUACAUAAUCACGGUAUUAAAUUCAAAAUGUGCCUAAAGGUUCGCCUACUCGGGUGUGGUCGGCCUAGCAUACGCCUAACGAUUGAAUUAAUAAAGUAAUAACAGAAGCAUUAAAAUAUUUGAAGUCUAAAUUUUUGUCCAUUUAAGUAACACCCUUCCACCCAAGAAAAUUUAAGCAUAAAAAAAAUACAGAAUGAGCAGAUAACGAUGGCAUAUUUUUGGAAGAUUGGUAGUAGACAACGUCAAGUCUAGUUGGGUAACUAAAUCAAAUAUUUUAGCAGCUAGAACUUUAACUAAAUUGGCCUUAGCAUCCAAAUGAAUUUUCUAAUGUGAGAAUACUUAGACAAGAACGAGAACCUUGUCAAUUUUCCAGAUGCAAUAUUGCUACUACUAAAAUUGAUCUAUCUUUAUGUGCUAAUGGAUCCUACGAACCUCAGCAAACUUGAAACCCACUUUUAACAGAAGGAUAUACAUGAACUAAGGAUGAACUAAUCAAAUAGAGGCAAUUUCAAUCUAGAACGAAAAUUAAGGAACAAACAAACCAACAAUCCAUUCAUAAUAUCUAGAGAAACGGGUCUGGAAAUCAAAGAGCAAAUAAAGUUUUAGAAUUGAACCUUUAAAGCUGCAUUGUGUUCUUGGAACAAUGAAUAGAAAAAUAAACUCCAGGCCAAAUCUACGGUUGACGAACUCGACGGACCGGACACCGACGGCCUCGAGCACAGAACUUCAACGGAAUUAAUGGAGGAUUCUGGGAGGUUGUAAUGGCAGCGAUUCGAUCUAUUGUUCUCACGUUUUGGAGCUGGUUUUACAGCUUCAUGGUGGUUUUAAUGGAGGUUUUAAGCUACUGGUUUCUAUACCCAGAACAGAGAAUUUAACGCGACGAAAAUAGAGUUUUGUGGGGAUGGAUCUGCUGAAGGUGAAGGAGAUGGUUGCGGUUCUUCACUUUAUCUGUGUGCCUGAACAUUUUGCUCUCUUUGUUAUUUGUAUCUAUAGCUCUUUUAGGUCUCCAAGUUUUUUGUUUUUUUGAAGAAGAUAGAUCUAAUGGGAGGGGUUGUGAUUUUCGUUGAAGAAGGCAGAACGGUGGGGUGAAGGAGACGACGUUGAACAUCGCUGCGUAGGGGUCUCCUCAGGUCCGAUUCUUUGAGUUUUUCGGCUGAUCUCCUAGAGUGUAGGGAU
rnacentral:lncRNA from 1 species